GUUCGAUGGCUAUUUUGCAGUAGUUUAAUGGCAGGCAUGUGGCGUAACAGGGAGCAAGGAGCAAACUGGGCUGGAGUUGGGUUGGAUCAAGUACUCUAAGCAAGCAGAGCAGAGAGUGGAACAAGUGUUCUAAGUAAGCAGCUAAUGUGUGAAGGGCCAGCAAGAAGAAGAAGAUCAUGAGGCAGACACUGAGUAAGGAUAGCAACAGGUUUGAAGAGUCAAAGACUAGAGCAAAAUAAUUGUGAUAGUGUGUACAAGAGUCGUGUUGAUAAUGUGUUGAGAAUGUUUAGAAAGA
rnacentral:lncRNA from 1 species